CGAGCCCUACCCAGCUUCAUAAUUUAUACCCUCCUCUGAUGUGGAAAUCAGAUGGAGCCACUGGCGAGAGGUGGUUGAAAGGAUCAUCAGCUGUGUUGCCAUAUGGAAGCACUAUGAUCGGGCAGGGCUGAACGCUGGGAACCUGAUAACAUCCCACCCAAACCUUUAAGUUCAGGGGCAGUUUUUCCAUGGACUUCAAGCACUGAGUGUGGCACUCACUAUGCUCUGCUGUUAACUCCUUGGUCUCAGCCGUGAAGUCCGUCACUGUGCUACCACAAUGGAACCGAAUGGCUGCCCUGAGCAUCCUCAGGUGGGUUUGUUAUCAGCUGUCAAGUGUUAGGGAUGGAAAAUCCACAUGGGAGCAGCCCAGGCACUGAGGAGAGGGAUGUACAAGAGGACCAAUCUCAGAAGCUUUGUAGUGGAGCAAGAAUCAAAAUAAUCUCCAUCAAGGAGAACUGUUGGACUGAAAUUGGAUGGCCUAACCAGUCUCUCUCCAAUGGCUGCUUUUCAUUGGGUUUUUCACUGCAGCAUGGAGAUCUCACUUACUCCGCAAUUGCCUUCCAGUAGAACUUCAAAAGGCAAAAAACAAACACAAGGAGUUGGAAUGGACAGUACUUCAGGCAUCUUAAAAUGUUGAAAGCACCAACGGUUUUCAAUAAAGCUAUCUUGAUUUACAAUUUCUUUUUAAAGGACGGCAGAUCUUGAUUAUUCCUAGGAUAUAUUAAAAAAAAAAAAAAAGAAAAGAAAAAAAAACUUGAAGGUAUUUUUGUCAAAUAUUUUCAUUCCUUUUCCAGAGGAAAUAGUUGGUUUUAUAACUGCAGAUGCCUCUUCGUGAGCUGUUCAAGAAAAAUCCCAUGAUUUUCCAUUCAUUAGCCAACCCAGGCUUGCUGGUGCAUCCACAGGAGACAGAAGGUGUUCCCAUUCUACAACUGGAACACAGUGUUUACAAUUGUAUGGCGUCCUAAUAAUGAACAACUUUCUUUGACGUCCCUCUGGCUGCUAAUUAAAGAGCAGCUGACACUUGCUGGAAAUGCUGAGAACA